GUGAAACCAUUCAUAAUGUGGUUAGACUUGGUCAGAAGAUUAGGUAUACCUAAUCUUUUGACCAAGUCUAACCACAUUACAUGCUUUAAACUGCUAUUGUAAAACAAACUUUUUGCAAAAACUCUAAAAACACAGCUCUCUACAUUAUACGCAUCAUUCUCAUUUGGAAAAACACUGCCAUUUAAAUGCCACACUCAUUAAAUGAUGACCUUCAGCCAGUGAUCAUUUGUGAAAACACACAGAAUUCGUUCACUUAGAAAUCAAAACUCAGUUUUGAGAAAGAUUUUUUUACCCCCUUGCAUUUCUGUUUACAUUGUAUAUAUAUAUAUGUAUAUCUAUAUACUGUGUGUGUGUGUGUGUGUGUGUGUGUGUGUGCGCACGCGCGGUUUGCCCUCAUUCUUCUCUUCUUUCUUUAUUAGUUCAGUCUCUACAGCACGUCUGCAUGAUCUUGAGCAGUUUAAGCUCCUUCACAGCUCUGUUAUGGCGAAUGUUCAAACCAGGAUUCUUCAUCUGGAUCUCUCUAUCAUCAUUAUUUUCCUGAUUCAUGCAGAUUAUUCAAAAUCUAAUCAAGAGAAAAGGAUUCAGCAGCACAUCAACAAAACAGUGUUUGUGGGGGAAACAGUUACACUUCACUGCAACAAAACCCAACUUGAUGAUGAUUUCACAUGGAAAAUGAACAGCUUCGUUAUUUUUAGGCAGGACUCUGAAAGAAACAGAACAAUGACAAACUUCAGCUCAAACAGGAUUCACAUCGACCCCGCAGCUCCAAGAGAAUUAACAAUACAUCAAAUACAAGCGUCUGAUGCAGGAAACUACAGCUGUUACCCAGCAGCAAUAAGAUGGACAUUAACAAUAACAGAAAACACAACCAGACCAGAAUCACUCAAACAAAUGCCGCUGUACAUCAUCUUCUCAUGUUCUGGAGUCAUUAUGAUCUGUCUGAUCAUAACCAUCUGCGUUCACAGUAAACUGAAGCAGAUGAAGACAAACUCUGAUCUCUGUGAAAAAGACCAGGAGGCAGAAAGUUUAUUUACCACAGAACAGGUGAAGAAGAUAUCUGACUGUGACAAACACACAGUAACAGCCUGUGUCUACAGUCUUCAUACAGUUUCAUAAACGUCUUUUCUUCUCAAGACAGUGGUGUGUGUGUGUGUCUGACACUCAACAGAUCAUGAACAGGAAGAUGUCUGUCAGUCUUUUUUGUGGAUUAGAGAAUGAAACUGUCCCAAGAGUAUGUCGCAGAGGAUCUUUAUAUACACAUUUUCAGAAAGAGUAAUACUUUUUACACUUUUAAAAUGUAAAAUUUUUAAAUUUAACAUGCCUAACUAGAUACUAAAUUAUUCACAACAACACCUUCAAAUACCUUCAGAGACUAUGUCCUCGAUACAUGAUAUCUGUCAUUGUGUUGGACAUCUGAAUGAAGAUCUUAUUUUUUUUCCCUUUUCCUUCACCUCAUGAGUCAGUGAAAUCUUUAAAAAGUGGUGUUUGUCACAAUAUGAAAAUAAGUAUGUACAGUCAGCAGGUCAUUAUUUCAAAAUAAACCAUAACUGUACUAAUGGACACAGACGUUAUAUGACCACUUGCCAAAUAAAUGUGGAUGUGAAACAUUAAUAUGAGUUAAAAGGAUUUUAUUAUCUAAUUUGUAGAUUGGAUUAAAGUUUGAAAAGCUUUCAGGUUGUGAACUCUUUUUAUUUAUUUGCAAUGAAUGUGAAGUGCUCUUGGCCUUGAGAAACAUUUUGAGCUGUGUGUGGUUAGUUAUUCCGGCCACAGUAUCAUGCUUCCUGCUUUACUUUUCCCAGAGUAUAACAUAACUGCACUAUAUAAAAUGAGUUAAAUGUUAUAAUUUUACAGACUGCAAGUUUUUAGCCACAAGAGUUGAAAAAUAUGUUCCUCUUCAGAGAGAGAGAGAGAGAGAGAGAGAGAGAGAGAGAAGUAAAAAAGAAAUUCUCAGAUUCUCUCAGACUCUCAGUAAUUUUUUAUUAUUUAAUGACAAAUAACUGGCAGUGAUGUUAAUUGUAAGUAUUUGCCACUUAUCACUUGUUAAAUAACAAGGAAGCACACAGAGAAGAUCCAUCAUAAAUUCUAACAAAAUAAUUUUUUUUAUUAAUUAAACAGACUAAACAGAGCUUUUAGCUUUGUAAAAUUAUUUACACUUAAACAAAUCAGACAUUAUUUUUAUCAUUGUGUGUUUAGAUGAUGAGGCCUGCACUUCAUAUAUGAGUAUGUGACUCGAAUAUGUGCACAUAAAAUAUUCACAAAAUAAAAGUUUAAUAGUAAAUGAAAUCACAUAUAUACUUGAUCUGGAUGACAAUUAUUGAGAUCAGGAAUUGGAAAGGUGACACUUGGCUUCAUACAGUUAAUGUUGCACAUAUGCAAGGCAAAUGCAAUUUGAUGGGUUGUUAUAGUGCACAUCAGAAAUACAGCAAUAAACAUAAAAUGAUGAUUAGUCACUAAAGAGGUUAUAACAGACCAGAGCAAUAUUCAGUUUCAAGAGAAAUAAAAAGGAGAACAAGCCAGACCAUUAAAAAUGUGUGGGGGUCUUGGGAAUGGGGGGACAAGAACAUAUUGUUUUAGUAAAAGCAAAGAAAACAUGAAAUGCUUAAUAAGACAAGUAAACGUGGUAGGCAGUGACAGGAUGUGACAGUUCUGCAGUGGAAAAUGUGCUCUGUGGGUUCACUGGUCACUGCAGACAAAAGCACAAAACUGUAUUUGAAUAUGUGACAUUACCAUCCUUUACGUGUUGAAUUUAGAUGACCUGUGCUGGCAUUCACACUUUGAAUAGUUGUAUUCUUUUCUUUAUUUUUUUUUUUUUUUGUACUAACUAAAAUAUGUGGACAUGAUCAAUGCAAACUGUAUUCUGUGUAACUGACAAUGUGAUUUUUACGUCCAAUACUCUUCUAUUGUAUAAAAGUGUAUUCUCAUCUGCUGUCUUAGGCAUUGCCCUCUGUCUUCAUCUCUUCCUUUACUAGUUCAGUCUCUACAGCACGUCUGCAAGCCUUCGAGAUCCUGAGCGGAGAGUAAAACAGUUUACACUCCUUCACAGCCCUUAAACUGAGUGUCCUGUUAUGGCCAGUUUUCAGACCAGGAUUCUUCGUCUGCAUCUCUGUGUUGUUAUUAUUCUCCUGACUCAUGCAGGUACUCUUCACUUGUUUCUGCAUUCUGAUAAAUGCGAGUUGAUAUGGCUAUAAAUUUAGCAUAGUUUGAUUACUAAUAAUAUUGUUUACCAAUUUACAAUUUAAUGCAGAUGCUGAAAAGUUUGUGUUUGUAUUCUAAUGUGUUUUGUUCAAAAUAUUUAACACCACAUGAACAAUUAAUUGUGUGUCUCAUGAGCUUUUGCAUGUUUGCUGUUUUCUACUACUGGGAUUUUCUGUGUCUUUUCAUCAGAUUAUUCAAAAUCUAAUCAAGAGCAAAGGAUUCGGCAGCACAUCAACAAAACAGUGUUUGUGGGGGAAAGAUAUGGCUAUAAAUUUAGCAUAGUUUGAUUACUAAUAAUAUUGUUUACCAAUUUACAAUUUAAUGCAGAUGCUGAAAAGUUUGUGUUUGUAUUCUAAUGUGUUUUGUUCAAAAUAUUUAACACCACAUGAACAAUUAAUUGUGUGUCUCAUGAGCUUUUGCAUGUUUGCUGUUUUCUACUACUGGGAUUUUCUGUGUCUUUUCAUCAGAUUAUUCAAAAUCUAAUCAAGAGCAAAGGAUUCAGCAGCACAUCAACAAAACAGUGUUUGUGGGGGAAACGGUUACACUUCACUGCAACAAAACCCAACUUGAUGAUGAUUUCACAUGGAAAAUUAACAACUCGGUUAUUUUUAGGCAGGUCUCUUAUUUUAACAUAACUAAGACAAACUUCAGCUCCAACAGGAUUCACAUCGACCCCGCAGCUCCAAGAGAAUUAACAAUACAUCAAAUACAAGCGUCUGAUGCAGGAAACUACAGCUGUUACCCAGCAGCAAUAAGAUGGACAUUAACAAUAACAGGUUAUUACAUGAUUUUAUUUAUUGACUAUAUUCUUUGUAAAAGAGUUCAGUAAUGCAAGUAUAAGUGUUUAAUUAUAGUGACUAGUGACUAGUAGUGAUUAGUGGUGGUUGAUUGAUAUGUUUGUUAGACUGUUUGGUGUCGUCAGAAAAUCAGAUCAGACCAGAAUCACCCAAACAAAUGCUGUUGUACAUCAUCAUCAUCAUCAUCAUCUCAUGUUCUGGAGUCAUUAUGUUCUGUCUGAUCAUCACCAUAAGCAUCUGCAUUCAUAGGUAAGAUACAAUGAGUUUUUAUUUACAUUUAUUCCCUUCAGAAACACUGACAUGCAGUUCCAGCUCAU
rnacentral:lncRNA from 1 species